AAUGUAGGCGGUUGGAUAAGUCAGAGGUGAAAUCCCUCAGCCUAACUGAGGAACUGCCUUUGAUACUGUUUGACUAGAGGACAGGAGAGGAAAGUGGAAUUUCCGGUGUAGCGGUGGAAUGCGUAGAUAUCGGAAGGAACACCAGAGGCGAAGGCGGCUUUCUGGACUGAUCCUGACGCUGAGAUUCGAAAGCUAGGGUAGCAAACA
rnacentral:rRNA from 1 species